rnacentral:rRNA from 1 species
GACGAACGCUGGCGGCGUGCUUAACACAUGCAAGUCGAGCGGUAAGGCCUUUCGGGGUACACGAGCGGCGAACGGGUGAGUAACACGUGGGUGAUCUGCCCUGCACUUCGGGAUAAGCCUGGGAAACUGGGUCUAAUACCGGAUAUGACCUCCUAUCGCAUGGUGGGUGGUGGAAAGAUUUAUCGGUGCAGGAUGGGCCCGCGGCCUAUUAGCUUGUUGGUGGGGUAAUGGCCUACCAAGGCGACGACGGGUAGCCGACCUGAGAGGGUGACCGGCCACACUGGGACUGAGACACGGCCCAGACUCCUACGGGAGGCAGCAGUGGGGAAUAUUGCACAAUGGGCGAAAGCCUGAUGCAGAGACGCCGCGUGAGGGAUGACGGCCUUCGGGUUGUAAACAUCUUUCAGCAGGGACGAAGCGCAAGUGACGGUACCUGCAGAAGAAGCACCGGCUAACUACGUG